AGGCGGUCAAAUCACGCUGAAACACCGGUUCUCGUUCGAUCACCGAAGUUAAGCAUCGUAGAGCCAGGUCAGUACUUAGAUGGGGGACCGCUUGGGAACACCUGGUACUGUAAG
rnacentral:rRNA from 1 species